GGAGCAAGAGGUUAGAAAAAGCCUCUCAUGAGAAAGAAGUGACAGGUUUGAAGACAUAAGUGUGUGGCAGAAAGUGAGAAAGAAUUGCAAUUUCUCAGCUCUUUGGCAGUUACCUGCAAGGUGCAGACAAGACAUGUGAGAGCCACUUUAUCCUACGUGGAACAUAUAUUAAAACCUGGAAAGCUCUUCGACUGACCGGGGACACCACAGGAACUCCUUUUGCUUUGAACAGAUGCGGCGCCCUUCCUCCUCCUCACUGCUGUUUCCCACUGAGCGUCUGCUGGGAUGAGCUGGUUGGUGGCCAUGGGUAAGUCUGUUGGCCAUUUUGUGAAAACCUGCUCAUGAAGAAGUGUUUACUAGAUUAAAUGC
rnacentral:lncRNA from 1 species